AGUGGCCUAGUGGUUAAGACGACCGCCUGGUAACCCAGGGGUCGCAGGUUCAAACC
rnacentral:tRNA from 11 species